UACGUAGGGGGCAAGCGUUGUCCGGAUUUAUUGGGCGUAAAGGGCGCGUAGGCGGUGUCGCAAGUCCGUGGUGAAAUCUCCAGGCUCAACUUGGAGUCUGCCACGGAAACUGCGGUGCUUGAGUGUGGGAGAGGUGCGUGGAAUUCCCGGUGUAGCGGUGAAAUGCGCAGAUAUCGGGAAGAACACCCGUGGCGAAGGCGGGUCUCUGGGCCGAUACUGACGCUGAGGAGCGAAAGCGUGGGGAGCGAACAGG
rnacentral:rRNA from 1 species